AUAUUUAUGGUUAAACCUGCCCAAUGUAAUUUAAUAUCAAUGGCCGCGGUACCCUGACCGUGCUAAGGUAGCGUAAUCAGUUGGCUUUUAAAUGGAGUCAGGUAUGAAUGGGAUAACCGGGCUUAGCUGUCUCAGAAGUAUUUAAUUGAAUUUACUUUUCAAGUGAAAAAGCUUGAGUUAAGAAAAGGGACGAGAAGACCCUUAGAAUUUUUUUUAAAAUGUUAAUAAAUCUUUUAACAUUGUGAUUUAGUUGGGGCGACAUAGAAAUAAUUAAAACUUUCUUUAAAACAUUAGUCGGAUUUUUCAGGUUAGAAUAAAUUACCUAAGGGAUAACAGCAUAAUUUUAAAAUUAAGUUUGUGACCUCGAUGUUGGACUAGGAAGCUAGCAGGUUAGGUGCUUGUUGUGCGGAUUCUGUUCGAAUUUUAACUCCU
rnacentral:rRNA from 1 species